UACGUAGGAUGCAAGCGUUGUUCGGAAUUACUGGGCGUAAAGCGUGCGUAGACGGUUAUUUAAGUCGGAUGUGAAAGCCCCGGGCUCAACCUGGGAAUUGCAUUCGAGACUGAAUAGCUAGGGUACGGUAGAGGGAAGUGGAAUUUCCGGUGUAGCGGUGAAAUGCGUAGAUAUCGGAAGGAACAUCAGUGGCGAAAGCGACUUCCUGGACCAGUACCGACGUUCAGGCACGAAAGCGUGGGGAGCAAACAGG
rnacentral:rRNA from 1 species